rnacentral:rRNA from 1 species
CCUACGGGUGGCAGCAGUGAGGAAUAUUGGUCAAUGGCCGUAAGGCUGGACCAGCCAAGUCGCGUGAAGGAAGAAGGAUCUAUGGUUUGUAAACUUCUUUUAUAGGGGAAUAAAGGUAUCCACGUGUGGAUAUUUGCAUGUACCCUAUGAAUAAGCAUCGGCUAACUCCGUGCCAGCAGCCGCGGUAAUACGGAGGAUGCGAGCGUUAUCCGGAUUUAUUGGGUUUAAAGGGUGCGUAGGUUGUUUUGUAAGUCAGCGGUGAAAGUUUUCGGCUCAACCGUAAAAUUGCAGUUGAAACUGGCAGUCUUGAGUACAGGAGAGGUAGGCGGAAUUCGUGGUGUAGCGGUGAAAUGCUUAGAUAUCACGAAGAACUCCGAUUGCGAAGGCAGUUCACUGGACUGCAACUGACACUGAGGCUCGAAAGUGUGGGUAUCAAACAGGAUUAGAUACCCCAGUAGUC